GGUGUGACUGCGUACCUUUUGUAUAAUGGGUCAGCGACUUAUAUUCUGUAGCAAGGUUAACCGUAUAGGGGAGCCGCAGGGAAACCGAGUCUUAACUGGGCGUUAAGUUGCAGGGUAUAGACCCGAAACCCGGUGAUCUAGCCAUGGGCAGGUUGAAGGUUGGGUAACACUAACUGGAGGACCGAACCGACUAAUGUUGAAAAAUUAGCGGAUGACUUGUGGCUGGGGGUGAAAGGCCAAUCAAACCGGGAGAUAGCUGGUUCUCCCCGAAAGCUAUUUAGGUAGCGCCUCGUGAACUCAUCUUCGGGGGUAGAGCACUGUUUCGGCUAGGGGGUCAUCCCGACUUACCAACCCGAUGCAAACUACGAAUACCGAAGAAUGUUAUCACGGGAGACACACGGCGGGUGCUAACGUCCGUCGUGAAGAGGGAAACAACCCAGACCGCCAGCUAAGGUCCCAAAGUCAUGGUUAAGUGGGAAACGAUGUGGGAAGGCACAGACAGCCAGGAUGUUGGCUUAGAAGCAGCCAUCAUUUAAAGAAAGCGUAAUAGCUCACUGGUCGAGUCGGCCUGCGCGGAAGAUGUAACGGGGCUAAACCAUGCACCGAAGCUGCGGCAGCGACACUAUGUGUUGUUGGGUAGGGGAGCGUUCUGUAAGCCUGCGAAGGUGGCCUGUGAGGGUUGCUGGAGGUAUCAGAAGUGCGAAUGCUGACAUAAGUAACGAUAAAGCGGGUGAAAAGCCCGCUCGCCGGAAGACCAAGGGUUCCUGUCCAACGUUAAUCGGGGCAGGGUGAGUCGACCCCUAAGGCGAGGCCGAAAGGCGUAGUCGAUGGGAAACAGGUUAAUAUUCCUGUACUUGGUGUUACUGCGAAGGGGGGACGGAGAAGGCUAUGUUAGCCGGGCGACGGUUGUCCCGGUUUAAGCAUGUAGGCUGGUUAUCCAGGCAAAUCCGGAUAAUCAAGGCUGAGGUGUGAUGACGAGGCACUACGGUGCUGAAGUAACAAAUGCCCUGCUUCCAGGAAAAGCCUCUAAGCAUCAGGUAACAUCAAAUCGUACCCCAAACCGACACAGGUGGUCAGGUAGAGAAUACCAAGGCGCUUGAGAGAACUCGGGUGAAGGAACUAGGCAAAAUGGUGCCGUAACUUCGGGAGAAGGCACGCUGGUGUGUAGGUGAAGUCCCUGCGGAUGGAGCUGAGACCAGUCGAAGAUACCAGCUGGCUGCAACUGUUUAUUAAAAACACAGCACUGUGCAAACACGAAAGUGGACGUAUACGGUGUGACGCCUGCCCGGUGCCGGAAGGUUAAUUGAUGGGGUUAUCCGUAAGGAGAAGCUCUUGAUCGAAGCCCCGGUAAACGGCGGCCGUAACUAUAACGGUCCUAAGGUAGCGAAAUUCCUUGUCGGGUAAGUUCCGACCUGCACGAAUGG
rnacentral:rRNA from 1 species